AUUUAAGAGCGUAUGGGGAAUGCCUUGGCUCUCAGAGGCGAUGAAGGACGUGAUAAACUGCGAUAAGCCAUGGGGAUUGGUUGUACGAAGCGAUCCAUGGAUUUCCGAAUGGGGCAACCCGCUCCGAUGAAGUCGGAUCAUCUCUUUAAUAUUCUUAAUAUUUAGAGAGGCAAACCUGGGGAACUGAAACAUCUAAGUACCCAGAGGAAAAGAAAACAACAGUGAUUCCGUAAGUAGUGGCGAGCGAACGCGGAAUAGCCCAAACCAUACUACAGUUACGGCUGUUAUGGGGUUGUAGGACUGGCGUAACAAUUUAGUGAGAGAAUUCGAAUUGCUCUGGAAAGACAAGCCAUAGCAGGUGAUAGCCCUGUAGAAGUAAUCAAACUAAAUUAGUCAGUAUCCUGAGUAGGUCGGCGCUGGUGAAACACCGACUGAAGCUGCCGGCACCAUCCGGUAAGGCUAAAUACUCCUGAGAGACCGAUAGUGAACUAGUACCGUGAGGGAAAGGUGAAAAGUACCCUGAAUAAGGGAGUGAAAUAGUCCCUGAAACCGUACGCUUACAAGCGGUCGGAGCCCCUUAGGGGGUAACGGCGUGCCUUUUGCAUAAUGAGCCUACGAGUUAGUCUUUUUUGGCAAGGUUAAUCCUUUAGAAAGGAGAAGCCGAAGCGAAAGCGAGUCUGAAUAGGGCGAUAUAGUCAGAGGAGCUAGACGCGAAACCUGGUGAGCUACCCAUAGCCAGGCUGAAGCACUGGUAAAACAGUGUGAAGGGCCGAACCAGUAGACGUUGCAACGUCUUUGGAUGAGCUGUGGGUAGGGGUGAAAGGCCAAUCAAACCAGGAAAUAGCUCGUACUCUCCGAAAUGCUUUUAGGAGCAGCCUUAAACGUAUACUGGCAGAGGUAGAGCUACCGAUAGGAUAGGGGGGAGUCAAAUCCUACCACAUCCAGACGAACUCCGAAUGCUGCUAGUUUUGUUUAGGAGUGAGGGCUAGGGUGCUAAGGUCCUAGUCCGAAAGGGAAAGAACCCAGACUAUCAGCUAAGGUCCCCAAAUAUAUGCUAAGUUGAACUAAGAAAGUUCAGUUGCUAAGACAGCCAGGAUGUUGGCUUGGAAGCAGCCACUCAUUUAAAGAGUGCGUAACAGCUCACUGGUCGAGCGACAGAGCGUCGAUAAUAAACGGGCAUCAAGCAUAUUACCGAAGCUAUAGCGCUAGUGUUUUGGCACUAGGGGGUAGGAGAGCAUUCUAACGGAGUUGAAGCAGCAAGGAAACUUAUUGUGGAUUUGUUAGAAAAGAAAAUGUAGGCAUAAGUAACGUUAAUGAUGGCGAGAAACCAUCACACCGAAAGACUAAGGCUUCCACGGCGAUGCUAGUCAUCCGUGGGUUAGUCGGGCCCUAAGCUGAAGCCAAACGGCGUAAGCGAUGGACAAUCGGUUAAUAUUCCGAUACUAGCUAAUAAUAGAUGAAGAGGGGACGAAGUAGUGAAAAGUCUGCCUCGUGACGGAAUACGAGGUUAAAGCCUGUAGGUAUAAACAUGCGUGGCAAAUCCAUCAUGUUUGCCGAAAGUAAUAGUACUGCAAUCCUUCGGGAGCGCAGAUAGUGACUCUAAGCAGACUUCCAAGAAAAGCCUCUAAUCGUUACGUUACUAGCUAUCCGUACCGCAAACCGACACUGGUAGUCGAGGAGAGUAUCCUAAGGUGGACGAGUGAUUCGUGGCCAAGGAACUAGGCAAAAUUACCCUGUAACUUCGGGAGAAAGGGUGCCUCGCUCACUGUCGCAAGAUAGAAGGCAGGCCGCAGUAAAAAGGCCCAGACGACUGUUUACCAAAAACACAAGGCUUUGCAAAAUCGAAAGAUGAAGUAUAAGGCCUGAUACCUGCCCGGUGCUGGAAGGUUAAUAGGAGGUGUUAAACCGCAAGGUUAAAGCACUGAACAGAAGCCCCAGUAAACGGCGGCCGUAACUAUAACGGUCCUAAGGUAGCGAAAUUCCUUGUCGGGUAAGUUCCGACCUGCACGAAUGGUAUAACGAUCUGGGCACUGUCUCAGCCACGAGCUCGGUGAAAUUGAAGUAACGGUGAAGAUACCGUUUACCCGCAACGGGACGGAAAGACCCCAUGAACCUUUACUAUAGCUUAACAUUGGUAAUGUGUAGGUGAUGUGUAGGAUAGGUGGGAGACUACGAAGCCUUGGCGCUAGCUGGGGUGGAGUCAACCUUGAAAUACCACCCUUCAUGUAUGUGUUACCUCAUCUUUCAGAGUAAAGAGACAGUGUUAGGUGGGUAGUUUGACUGGGGCGGUCGCCUCCAAAAAAGUAACGGAGGCUUUCAAAGGUACCCUCAGCACGGAUGGCAAUCGUGCGUAGAGCGCAAUAGCAUAAGGGUGCUUGACUGUGAGACCUACAAGUCGAGCAGGGUCGAAAGACGGAUAUAGUGAUCCGGUGGUUCCGUAUGGAAGGGCCAUCGCUCAAAGGAUAAAAGGUACUCUGGGGAUAACAGGCUGAUCUCCCCCAAGAGUUCACAUCGACGGGGAGGUUUGGCACCUCGAUGUCGGCUCAUCGCAUCCUGGGGCGGUAGUACGUCCCAAGGGUUGGGCUGUUCGCCCAUUAAAGCGGUACGCGAGCUGGGUUCAGAACGUCGUGAGACAGUUCGGUCCCUAUCUGUUGUGGGCGUUAGAAGCUUGAGAGGAGCUGACCCUAGUACGAGAGGACCGGGUUGGGCAAACCUCUGGUGUAUCAGUUGUGACGCCAGUUGCACUGCUGAGUAGCCACGUUUGUAAGAGAUAAGUGCUGAAAGCAUCUAAGCACGAAACUCACCUCAAGAUGAGGCUUCCUUAAGGGUGGUCAUAGACGAUGACCUUGAUAGGCUGCAAGUAUAAAGUCAGAAAUGGCAAAGCUGAGCAGUACUAAUUGCCCAAAUGC
rnacentral:rRNA from 1 species